rnacentral:tRNA from 1 species
CGGAACGUAGCGCAGCUUGGUAGCGCACUUGCAUGGGGUGCAAGGGGUCGGAGGUUCAAAUCCUCUCGUUCCGACCA